CGCCUGUUUAUCAAAAACAUCUUUUCUUGUUAGUUUUUGAAGUAUGGCCUGCCCGCUGACUUUAGUGUUGAAGGGCCGCGGUAUUUUGACCGUGCAAAGGUAGCAUAGUCAUUAGUUCUUUAAUUGUGAUCUGGUAUGAAUGGCUUGACGAGGCAUGGGCUGUCUUAAUUUGAAUUGUUUAUUGAAUUUGGUCUUUGAGUUAAAAUUCUUAGAUGUUUUUAUGGGACGAGAAGACCCUAUAGAGUUUAACAUUUAUUAUGGUCCUUUUUCUGUUUGUGAGGGUUCACUGGGCUGUUUAAUAUGUUUUGUUGGGGUGAUGGGAGGGAUAUAAUUUAACCCCUCCUUUUUAUUAUUAUAUUUAUUUAUAUUUACUUGAUCCAUUUAUUUUGAUUGUAAGAUUAAAUUACCUUAGGGAUAACAGCGUAA
rnacentral:rRNA from 1 species